CCUAGAGAUCUCCUAGAGAUCUUUCACCUCCCUGGUUAGCUGUAUUCCUAGGUAUUUUAGUUUUUCUGUGUGUAGCAAUUAUGAAUGGGAUUGUGUUCUUCAUUUGACUCUCUUCUUGACUUGAUGUAUAGGACUUCUAGUAAUUUUCACACAUUGAUUUUGUAUGCUAAGAUUUUGCUACAGUUUAUCAGCAGAAGCAGCUUUGGGGCCAAGACUGUGGGGUUUUCUGGACAUGGAAUCAUGUCAUCUGUAAACAGAGACAGUUUGAUUUCCUAUCUAUUCCUCUCUUCCUUCCUCUAUUUGGAUGCCCUUCCAGUUUUGCACAUUCAGUGUAAUGUUGGCUGUGGGUUUGUCAUGGCUAGCUCUCAUCAUUUUGGCACUUCUGACUAGAAGGGCAAGAGGGGCCAGUGUUGUUGUUCCCUGAAAGGUAAGUGCAGCCCACAAUUACAAAUGUAGUGAAGAAGAAGAUACAUGCAUAUGUGUAAGUAAAUAUAAUUGAGAUAUAUUUAGCAGACAUAAUCAAUAGAGUUGAUGAGUGACUGACUGGAUGUGUGGGGAAUUUAUAUCACUCCCAGGUUUUUGACUUGGGCAACUGGACACUCACGAAGGAAAAAGAGGAUCCAAGGAGAGGAACUUGUCUGAGGACUGGGGUAGGGCUGAACAGCUGCAUUUGAGACUAGUGGAGGGUGGGCUGGGCAUGGGAUGCACAAAUGGAAAUUCCACUGGGUCUGCAGCUCACACAUGUGCAUGACCAGCAUAGAGAUAGAGAGGCCCCAACACUGCUGAGAAACUGUAAUUCCCUGGUGAUGGUGUCAGCUGAGAAGGGAAGGAAGCCCAUUUGAGGACACCGAUCAUUUGAGGACACUGAAGAAGGAGUGAGCAGACAAAAAGGAGCCCACAGAAGACAGGGAAGAAACAACUAGAGGGAGAAGCCAAGGCAAGCGUGUGUGGUGACAUAUAGGAACUGAGGGAGAGGACAUUUCAAGAUGGAGGGGAUGUCAUACAACAGGACUAUGCAAUGGUUUUUGACUGUGUCCACAGGAAGUCACAACAGGCAAGGGAAAGAAACCAGAACCCUGUCAUGGAGUUAAGGAGUGAGUCAGAGAGGAGAUGGGUAGGGACAGUGAGGUAAGGCCUCUUUUUAAGGAAGUUUGGCUGAAGGAUAGACUAGCUGGACACAUGCUGGGUGUGUGGGGUAGAGGGAGGAAUGAUGCGGGGUAGGAGAGCCUUGAGCCUGUGAGAAGAAUCUCCUAGAACAGAGAAGCUGAAGUUAAAGUUGUGGGAGAGAGUGGGGAUAACUGAGUGACAGAUAAUCAGUGGCCUUUGCCAAGAGCACAGCCCUCUUUCACUGUCACAGAGAGGAAGGACAAAACAAUUGGUGUUCAAGAGUUGGUUUGUAGCACAAUAUUUUAACUAUGUCCUUUAAAAAGUUUAUCCACAGACACUACCCAAAGCAGUCCUUCACUACAGUGGCAGACGGACCUGAACAUUUUCACCUGAAGCAGCAGAGGGAACUGCAGAGUCAGCAAGAACAAAGAUCACCACAACUGGCCCCCCUUCAACUAUGCUAGAUGGCAACUUGCCUUCAGUAUGGUGAAACACAUCGGUUAAGACGGGUUGUGCAUGCCAGGACUUUCUACAAGGACACCCAGUCUCCUUAAUAAACAUGAGAUGUUCUCUUUCCAGAAGUUCUCUUGCCUGACACAGCACAGGAAGAUGCUGAAGGGCCACACAGUGAUCCAUUGGUCAGUGGUGACGUAAGGGGGUCAGAAGGGAGGAGAGAGGAGAAGCAGGGGAGACUGGGUGGUUGUAGGCCUCCUUCAUCUGUUCAUUGGCUGUGGCAUUAGGCCAGCUACUCUUUGCACUUCUGUAAAGUGAGACGGUCGAUCUUGUCUACCUCUCCAGAGGAUGGCUGCAAGUGUCAAAUGUGGGGUAGUUAGGUGGGAGGGCAUUUCAAAAAGUUAAAAAAUGUGAUUUUGGAGGCUUGUUAUGUUGAUGAUUAUUAUAAUCUCUGAGAAUUCCUAGUAUAAAAAAGGGAAAAGAAGAUAAUCUGUGAAAGAAGUAAGUGUCCAGUUACUAGUCUUUGAAAAGUGUCAGUCUGUAGCUCUUCUUAAUGAGAAUAGGCAGCUUUCAGUUGCCCAGGGUCAGAUUUCCUUAGUGGUGUAUCUAAUCACAGGAAAGAUUGUGGUUCCCUCCAGUCUCUUUCUGGGGGACUAGAGCCCACUUCUCAUUUCAUUUAAUUAGCAGAAAUAUAACUCAAAGUAGAAUUUACUGUUAACAAUGCCACAGAAACAUGGUUGGAAACUAUUUUUUGGUUUGUGUAAAAUGCGGUUUUUAUGUGCUUAUAAUGGUUCCAAAAAUUGGGUGCUGGCCAAAGAGAGAUACUGUUACAGAAGCCAGCAAGAAGACCUCUGUUCAUUCACACCCCGGGCGUAUCAGGAAUUGACUCCAGUGUGUGCAAAUCCCAUUUGCCUGUCUUCUCAAGUUAGGGUUAAUUGGAUAAUUCUGGAGAAGUACACACUGAAAACUAUAACUAAGCCGAGCAAUUAAAUACUAGUUUCCUGCCUAUUACAUGCCUUUGUACCAUGCAAAAGAGCUCACAGGGCCUCUGAGGAAAGAUCACUAACACACACCUCAAAUAACUAUGUCUGAUUUCCUGGAAGGACUCAGAAAGGGAACGAUGACUGUGGAUUGGACUGGAUAGUGCCUCAUGCUGGAGGUGGGGUUUGAAUGGAGCCUUGAAGGUUGAGAAAAAGUGAUAUAAACACUGGCUCCUUCCUUUUGAAAGCACAUGACACUCUUUGGGCUUAGUGGUUAUAGAUACCUUUAGCACAGCCCAGGAGCAAGCAUUCAUUGUCUACCUAUCAUAUGCUUGACUUUGGAAAUGCAAAUAAAAAAGGAGGUCACUGUUUUAUGAAAGGAUGAUUUUAUUCUACCUGAUGUAGUCAGCUGCAAGCUUCAGAAGGCAGCACAUACAAUAAUUAUGGGCUGGUGAGAUGAGAGCUAAUGAAGAGAUGUACAAAGUGCCAUGGGAUCACCAAGCAGUGGUCAGGUGAAGGCAUCUGAUUUUCUUUAAGAUCUUGCUCAAAUGUCAUCUCCUCUAGAAGAAGAUGUAGGGUUUCACUAGGCAGACAACAUGGGGAAAUUCAUCUCAGUUCAAGAAACAGGUAUUGAUUAUCUAAUACGUUCAAGCAGUUGUGCACUGAGGCUAGAAAAACAUCAUCAUCAUCAUCAUCAUCAUCAUCAUCAUCAUCAUCAUCAUCAUCAACAACCACAACAAUCUUGCUGUAUUCCAGGCCAUAAUUUUACAUGUAUUAUCUCAUUUAAUCUCAAACAACUCUAUGACAUAGGUGUUUAUUAUUAUCCCUAUUUAGAUGAAAGAUUUAACCUUCAGAGAAUUUAAAUGAAUUGCACUUGCAAGCUUAGCAGGUGAGGAAUCAAAUUUGGAAUAGGACCUAGAUCAGUGAUCCCCUAGAUCCACAAUCUUGACCAGUACCCUGUUCUCUUUGCUUAGAGAGCACUGAGAGAAAAUCUGUAAGCAAAUAAUCACAAAACAAGGGAUGAUGCAAUAUACGUAAAGGUAGGAUUUUACCUUAAGUGGAAGGAGGAAGAAGUCAUUAUUUAUUUUUUCUGGGUGAGAGAUGAAAACACUUCUGCAAGAGUAUUUCCAAUUUCACCAAAGUAUGGAAAGAUGUUUAUCCUAAUAACAAUACUCAGUAAUGGUGUUUAAUUUCAGCCUAGUACAUGAUUUGAUUCUAAAACACAACAUUUCCUUAGAAUUUUUGAUAUCUGGAAUUCUAUAGCUCAAUGGUUUUGGUGGAAAAUUGACUAUUAAUAUUUUAUAUACUUUUUUGAUAAUUUUGGGGCUAAAUGAAUCAAAUCUAUUCAUAAUUCUUAAGUUUUCAAAUUCUGAAAUCUUUUAGAGUUGUUUGGUUAAAACUAGUUCUUCCAGUUUGUUAGCUUACCAAAUGAGCCAAAAUAAGGAAAAAACAAAAAUUUAUUUUCAGUCAGAUAUAGAAAGUUAUUUAGUUUAGUUACAUGAUGUUAUCUCUGCCUUUAAAAAAUUUCUUCUUUCUUUUUUUCUCCCUCUCUCUUUUUGAGGGGAUUAUAAACACUGCCAAUAUUUUUUGCCUAAAGGGUAAAUCCUCCUAAACUCUUUUGGGAUCUAUGUUAGGUGCCAGAUUGUCAUAAGAAAAUUAUGUGAACUACUGGUGAAUAAACAAGCAAACCAGAAGUUAGUUUUUCAGAACAGAUGCAAGCCAGUAGUUCACAGGCAUUAUCCAGUAACUGGUGGGGAUCUACUUGGCCAGCCCCUGACCACUGUAGAUGUGAACUUCCCUGGACCUUGGCAGUCAAAAGGGAGAGAGGCAGAGAAAGCCCCGUUCUCAUCACUAAUUCCCUUUUGACCACACAUGUCAGCAUGACCUGCUUCAAAGAAA